AGUGAACGCUGGCGGUAGGCCUAACACAUGCAAGUCGAACGGCAGCACAGUAAGAGCUUGCUCUUACGGGUGGCGAGUGGCGGACGGGUGAGGAAUACAUCGGAAUCUACUUUUUCGUGGGGGAUAACGUAGGGAAACUUACGCUAAUACCGCAUACGACCUACGGGUGAAAGCAGGGGAUCUUCGGACCUUGCGCGAUUGAAUGAGCCGAUGUCGGAUUAGCUAGUUGGCGGGGUAAAGGCCCACCAAGUCGACGAUCCGUAGCUGGUCUGAGAGGAUGGUCAGCCACACUAGAACUGAGACGCGGUCCAGACUCCUACGGGAGGCAGCAGUGGGGAAUAUGGGACAAUGGGCGCAAGCAUGAUCCAGUCAUACCGAGUGGGUGGAGAAGGCGUUCGGGUUGUGAAGCCGUUUUGUUGGGAAAGAAAAGCAGCAGGUUAAUACCCCGCUGGUCUGACGGUACCCAAAGAAUAAGCACCGGCUAACUUCGUG
rnacentral:rRNA from 1 species